GUCCUGGUAGAAACUGAUAAAUAUGGCUGCUACUAGGAUCCAAUAAUAGGCUUUCAAUGUGUUCUCCUAAAACAUUUUGUUGGAUAAUGGAAUGGUAGAAUAAUUUCUCUAGGUGUGACGUUGUACUGUUAAAUACUUAUUUUACAGUCAUCUAAGUAACUAUCAAACAGGGAAGAAUUUCCCAAGUUACCAUAUUUUUUAUCAGUUUUCACCUAAAAAAUUGUUUUUAGGAAUGAUGUCUGGAUUUAGGGGCUUGAGGUAUAUGAACCAGAAGGAUUUUUUUUUUUUUUUCAGUCUAUCUCAUAUCUUAAUUGAAAUAUGCAUUUCUUUCAUCAGAACACAUCACUUAAAAAAAAUAAAAAAUAAAAUAAAAACAUAAGACAUUCUGUAGCAAAUGCUGUAAAACUAAUCAAGAAUCCCAUAGUUCAGGAAAAAAAAAAAAAAAAAAAAGUUAACUAAAAGAAAAGUCCAGAUAAGAGAAACUGUGUUCCAGUGUGGAGAGGGUCAGAUGGGUCUCUGACACCAAAGUGGAGAUAUUUUCUCAUAAAGUAGAAAAGCAUCAUCUAUGGUUUCCCAGUAAAGUUGGCAGAGCUCAUUUCCGUGGCUUAUUAGGUCUGGAGUACAGCAGAGCUGUCAGAGCUGAGAAGAGCAAAUGGACCUGCAAGGCCCAAGCAUGGGUCAAAGAGUGAGAGACAUAAAGCACGUGGGAAAGGAAGCAGGAGUCAAAGGAAGCAGGAACAGGCAGGGGGUUGGUGUUUACUCUUCUAAGAUACUGAAAACAUUGAACACAUGACACUGAGAAUAUUAUUCUAUUUUAUUUAAGGGAAUAUUUGUUUAGGUGAAGAUUAAACUAAGAAAUGUCUUCUAUGGGAACAAGUUCCUGUGAUACAUCAUUAUGCAUUGUGGAGGACUACUUCUCUGUAGAAAUACCGGAGGUCUGAAAAAAUGACAGAAAGGUUUGCUGAAUCAUGUGAUAGUCGUACUCCUGUGGAAAAGUCGGUGUAUAACCUUCCCUUCCUCCACUUCAUGGGAGACUCCAAGAAGUCAGUUGGGAUACGUGCAAAGCGUGUGGGCAAGUUAGGUCAUAUUCAGGGAUGAGGUAAGAUGUUUCGUAAUUUAUGCAUUGCUGAGUGGGUGUAAAUUAUGCUGAAUGGCUAGAUCCUGUGAUUUUCUGGUAGUUACUGUCCUGAACAAAAUCCAGCUACUUCAUGGAAGUCUCUAGAAAAGAAGCCACAGACUCCUGGCAUCUUUCCUCUGUCAAUGGAAAAAAAAAAAAAAAAAAAAAAAAAAAAAAAAACAUGAUUCCAAUUCCUGAAAGUCUCUGGAUUUAUGUCAGAGCAGAAGGGAAAAGAGGCUAGUAGAGCACAGCUGCAUCUGUGA
rnacentral:lncRNA from 1 species